UAACACAUGCAAGUCGAGCGGCAGCGGGAAAGUAGCUUGCUACUUUUGCCGGCGAGCGGCGGACGGGUGAGUAAUGCCUGGGAAAUUGCCCACUCGAGGGGGAUAACAGUUGGAAACGACUGCUAAUACCGCAUACGCCCUACGGGGGAAAGCAGGGGACCUUCGGGCCUUGCGCGAUUGGAUAUGCCCAGGUGGGAUUAGCUAGUUGGUGAGGUAAUGGCUCACCAAGGCGACGAUCCCUAUCUGGUCUGAGAGGAUGAUCAGCCACACUGGAACUGACACACGGCCCACACUCCUACGGGAGGCAGCAGUGGGGAAUAUUGCACAAUGGGGGAAACCCUGAUGCACCCAUGCCGCGUGUGUGAAAAAGGCCUUCGGGUUGUAAAGCACUUUCUGUGAGGAGGAAAGGGAGAGUCNUAAUACCUCUCAUCUGUGACGUUACUCACAGAAAAAAGACCGGCUAACUCCGUGCCAGCAGCC
rnacentral:rRNA from 1 species